AGUGAACGCUGGCGGUAGGCCUAACACAUGCAAGUCGAACGGCAGCACAGUAAGAGCUUGCUCUUACGGGUGGCGAGUGGCGGACGGGUGAGGAAUACAUCGGAAUCUACUUUUUCGUGGGGGAUAACGUAGGGAAACUUACGCUAAUACCGCAUACGACCUACGGGUGAAAGCAGGGGAUCUUCGGACCUUGCGCGAUUGAAUGAGCCGAUGUCGGAUUAGCUAGUUGGCGGGGUAAAGGCCCACCAAGGUGACGAUCCGUAGCUGGUCUGAGAGGAUGAUCAGCCACACUGGAACUGAGACACGGUCCAGACUCCUACGGGAGGCAGCAGUGGGGAAUAUUGGACAAUGGGCGCAAGCCUGAUCCAGCCAUACCGCGUGGGUGAAGAAGGCCUUCGGGUUGUAAAGCCCUUUUGUUGGGAAAGUAAAGCAGCAGGUUAAUACCCCGCUGUUCUGACGGUACCCAAAGAAUAAGCACCGGCUAACUUCGUG
rnacentral:rRNA from 1 species